rnacentral:rRNA from 1 species
CCUACGGGAUGCAGCAGUAGGGAAUAUUGGACAAUGGGCGAAAGCCUGAUCCAGCAACGCCGCGUGCACGAUGACGGCCUUCGGGUUGUAAAGUGCUUUUAGAGGAGAUGAGAAAGGACAGUAUCCUCUGAAUAAGCCUCGGCGAACUACGUGCCAGCAGCCGCGGUAAAACGUAGGAGGCAAGCGUUAUCCGGAUUUAUUGGGCGUAAAGCGCGUGCAGGCGGUCUAGCAAGUUGGAUGUGAAAGCUCCCGGCUCAACUGGGAGAGGUCAUUCAAUACUGUUAGACUAGAGAAUGGGAGAGGGGGGUGGAAUUCCGGGUGUAGUGGUGAAAUGCGUAGAUAUCCGGAGGAACACCAGUGGCGAAAGCGGCCUCCUAGACCAUUUCUGACGCUAAGACGCGAAAGCUAGGGUAGCAAACGGGAUUAGAUACCCGGGUAGUCC